AGACCCGAAACCCGGUGAUCUAGCCAUGGGCAGGUUGAAGGUUGGGUAACACUAACUGGAGGACCGAACCGACUAAUGUUGAAAAAUUAGCGGAUGACCUGUGGCUGGGGGUGAAAGGCCAAUCAAACCGGGAGAUAGCUGGUUCUCCCCGAAAGCUAUUUAGGUAGCGCCUCGUGAAUUCAUCUCCGGGGGUAGAGCACUGUUUCGGCUAGGGGGCCAUCCCGGCUUACCAACCCGAUGCAAACUGCGAAUACCGGAGAAUGUUAUCACGGGAGACACACGGCGGGUGCUAACGUCCGUCGUGAAGAGGGAAACAACCCAGACCGCCAGCUAAGGUCCCAAAGUCAUGGUUAAGUGGGAAACGAUGUGGGAAGGCCCAGACAGCCAGGAUGUUGGCUUAGAAGCAGCCAUCAUUUAAAGAAAGCGUAAUAGCUCACUGGUCGAGUCGGCCUGCGCGGAAGAUGUAACGGGGCUAAACCAUGCACCGAAGCUGCGGCAGCGAACGUAUCACCCAAGACAACUUUACGGAGUUGACGAUUGACGGAGCGAAGCGACGUCAAAGCGUUCAUUAAAGUCGAGUUGGCUUAGGGAUACGUUCGUUGGGUAGGGGAGCGUUCUGUAAGCCUGUGAAGGUGUGUCGUGAGGCAUGCUGGAGGUAUCAGAAGUGCGAAUGCUGACAUAAGUAACGAUAAAGCGGGUGAAAAGCCCGCUCGCCGGAAGACCAAGGGUUCCUGUCCAACGUUAAUCGGGGCAGGGUGAGUCGACCCCUAAGGCGAGGCCGAAAGGCGUAGUCGAUGGGAAACGGGUUAAUAUUCCCGUACUUGGUGUUACUGCGAAGGGGGGACGGAGAAGGCUAUGUUGGCCGGGCGACGGUUGUCCCGGUUUAAGCGUGUAGGUGUGUGUUCCAGGUAAAUCCGGUUCACUUUAACACUGAGGCGUGACGACGAGGCACUACGGUGCUGAAGCAACAAAUGCCCUGCUUCCAGGAAAAGCCUCUAAGCAUCAGGUAACACGAAAUCGUACCCCAAACCGACACAGGUGG
rnacentral:rRNA from 1 species